rnacentral:tRNA from 1 species
GGAUUGUGGCUCAGUGAUAGAGCACUUGCCUAGCAUGUGUGAGGCACUGGGUUCAAUUCUCAGCUCCA